rnacentral:rRNA from 1 species
UACGUAGGGUCCGAGCGUUGUCCGGAAUUAUUGGGCGUAAAGAGCUUGUAGGCGGUUUGUCGCGUCUGCUGUGAAAUUUCGGGGCUCAACCCCGAACUUGCAGUGGGUACGGGCAGACUAGAGUGUGGUAGGGGAGACUGGAAUUCCUGGUGUAGCGGUGAAAUGCGCAGAUAUCAGGAGGAACACCGAUGGCGAAGGCAGCUCGCUGGGACGGUACUGACGCUGAGGCGCGAAAGCGUGGGGAGCAAACAGG